rnacentral:rRNA from 1 species
AGAAAUCUCACCAGGCCCGGACACUGGAAGGAUUGACAGAUUGAUAGCUCUUUCUCGAUUCGGUGGGUGGUGGUGCAUGGCCGUUCUUAGUUGGUGGAGCGAUCUGUCUGGUUAAUUCCGAUAACGAACGAGACCCCAACCUGCUAACUAGCCCUCGGGUCCUGCUUCUGUUGGGCCCGACGGAAUGAUUCGCUUCUUAGAGGGACUCGCGGCGCCUAGCCGCACGAAGGGGGGCGAUAA